rnacentral:tRNA from 1 species
ACACUGGUGGUUCAGUGGUAGAAUUCCUGCCUUCCAUGCAGGAGACCCGGGUUCAACUCCCAGCCAAUAUA